rnacentral:rRNA from 1 species
CCUACGGGAGGCAGCAGUGAGGAAUAUUGGUCAAUGGCCGCAAGGCUGAACCAGCCAAGCCGCGUGAAGGACGAAGGUGCCAAGCAUUGUAAACUUCUUUUGUCAAGGGACAAAAUCAGGCUCGAGAGCCUGACCGAGUGUACUUGAAGAAAAAGCAUCGGCUAACUCCGUGCCAGCAGCCGCGGUAAUACGGAGGAUGCGAGCGUUAUCCGGAUUUAUUGGUUUUAAGGGGUCCGUAGGCGGGCUGUUAAGUAAGCGGUAAAAGCCAGGGGUUAAACCUCGGCGAGCCGUUGAAACUGGCUGUCUUGAGAGGACGAGAGGUAUGCGGAAUGCGCAGUGUAGCGGUGAAAUGCUUAGAUAUUGCGAAGAACUCCGAUUGCGAAGGCAGCAUACCAGCGGCGAUCUGACGCUGAGGCACGAAAGCGUGGGUAUCGAACAGGAUUAGAUACCCCUGUAGUC